UGAAGGAGAUGACCGGGACCUUAGUCUUAUUUCCGAGGUCUGAUACAAAUGAAACUUGUGAAGAUUUUUGCGGGCCUAUGAUAACUUGCACAUUAUGACUAUCCAUCAGGUCAAGAGCUGUAAGUUGCACAGGAAGACAAACUUAGUGAAAGUUGUUGCAUGCAGGACAUUUUAUGCUACAGGAAAUCUUCCUGUAUUCAGAAAUUAGAAAUGAAGAAUAUCAGCGAAAUAGUUUUUUGCUGAUUUAUAUAUGUUUUUUACUUUCUAGAGCACCAUCUAGUAAAUAGGGCUAGUAAACUUGUGCCAAACAGGAUUGCGGGUGAUUGUAGAUGUAGCUACAAAAUUUAAAGUCUGUACCAAGCACGUACCACAGUACCAGUUGAAUGGAGGUCACCAGACAUAAUAGGAUGACAGAGGGGAGCUCUACCAUGGAUGACUGAAUGCAUGAAGCAUCCAAGUUUUUUCAUCUUAAACUAAUAUUCCUAAAAUUUGUAUCUCACAAACUUUUUUCACACCUUACAUUACGUAUAUGCCAUGUUUUUGUUAUCAUAUUAUAUUGUGGGAAUGAUUGACUCCAUGGUUUGUUUCAAACCUACUAUCACUGGUAUACUUUGAUUGAUCCAUUUGGAGGAUUCUGUCAUGUUCACAUUUGGGUUUUUCAAUUGGAAGCAAACUUUGUACUGACAGUUAUCCAAUACCUGAAUAGCUAGGAUAAAAUCGUCCUGACAUUUUGUGAGGCGCAGGAUGAUUCCUAUGACUAGAAAUUCUUUCACAGGGCCAUCCAUCAGGCAUUGAGUGGCGAAUAGCUCUUCACAGCCAUAAGAGUAAAAGGUUUUGUCACACCAAAGAGCAAGAAUCCAUUUUACACAUCAGAUCUUUGAAUUGUUAAGAUGCUGUUUGUGAAAGUACAGAUAUGAGCACAGAAGUCUUCAAUCUCAAUGCGCUAGUUCUUUUCUUGAGAAGAAGUGAGAUUGUUGUAUCAAGUAACUGUACGCCAGUUAUGAAGCUUCUUUAGUUGCUCCAGCUGAGCCUCUGGGUAAUUAUGUCGCAAAGGUGCAAUUUCGAGGCAAGCAAUGGUGAGAAAGUCAAAUGUCUUCUUCCCAUCAUGAAGUACCCAGUCAGAUAAUUGACCCUGUUACAAAAGAAUCAACUCUUAUCCCAUAACCUGAUCUCAGCCCAUCUAUUGGAACUCGCCACCUGACGCCGGUCGCCCAGCCUUGGUUCUUAUGUGCAUCAGAACUGAUCUCAGGUGUCAUGUACUCAUGUGCAACACCAAUUGAAGAGUGGUGAUGUGGAAGAGGCGAGCUGGGGAAGCCGAGGCGAAAUGGUUCUUUUGCGCUCUUAAGUCUUCACUGAUGGUUAUUUAACAAUAGUGGUAAAAAGAAACAAGUAAAGAAAGUGCGGGCCAGUUUUUUUUAACUGUACAGCAGGGAAAUCCUACUGUGAUAAUAUAUUAAAGCAUAAUAGAAAAACACAAACAGACUGUACAGGGGAACAACAGCUAAUUGUACAGGAGGCAGCCAAAGGAAGUUGGGGGGGGGGGGGGG